GUUUUGACAAAAAGUGUACACUUUUUCACAGCGAGUGUACACCAAAGCGUUCGUUUUGAAAUAGUGUUGUCGUACAAGCCGUUUGUUUUAAAAAAAUGUACCAGUGUUGUAAUGGCCCGAUUAUUAGUACCAGCUAUUAAGAAUAUUUAAUAGCGUUAUUUGUGUCCUGGACGAUGAAUCGAUGCAGGGAGAUGGUUUUUAGAAAUAAAGAUAAGACUUCUGAAUACUUUCAGAUAUAAUAUUUUAUUAAACAGUACAUUUUAAAAACAUGUACAAUUACAUGACCACUUGUCAUAAGAUGUAUACUAUUGUCUAUGAGUACCGUAGUGUAGGUGUGAUGCCUAUAAUUUUCGGUGUUGGUCGUUAUCAUAUUUCUUAUCAACUAAUAUCAACUGAUUUUUAUAAUCAAUUCUAGUCUAUAGCCGUGGUUUGUUUUAAACUCAGUAAAAGGUCUAUGGUUUUAAAAUUUAAGUAACGACAUAAACGAUUAACGAAAGAUUAAAACGUAUUAUGAAGAAUGUAUACGGAUACUAUUAAUUAUUAUUUCUAAUAUUUAAUAAUACUCAAGACAAUAAAAUACGUUAUUUUAAAAUUUGUAUAUUUAUAUAUUAAAAAAAAAUUAUAAGUCGUAUAGAGAUUACAUUUGUAUUUAACAUUAAAUAAAAUAUUCGUAUAUUGAACAACGGCUGUUUAAUUAUUUGUAUCAAUACAAGUAAAACAAUUUUAAAAAAAGAUGACUAAAAGUAUUGGUUUCUUAAAUCGCAUUUUUUUAGUUGUAUCUAAUUCUAAGUAUUAUCGGCCACCACUGGAUUCUCCUAACAGUGUAUCCAAAUAUAAGAACUGUGGCUAUCAUAGAUUUAAAUCUGAUAUUGCUGAUCAUAAAGCAAUAAAAGUAAAGUCAACAUUAAAAAAAUGGAUAAUACUGAGUUCUAAGGCAUUUGCUAUUUCAUUAACAGCGCUUGUAGGAUAUGGAUUGUCUUUAUUGAUUUAUGAAGAUGACGACUUAAUUACCAAUGUAAAUAAAGAUGUCCCUUUUAUAAUUCAGAUGUAUGAAAAGUUGUGCUUUAGAAUUCAAUUUUAUCAUAAGAUGCUGACAAGUCCCAUAACUGCUACUGAUAAACUGCUACCCGACCCAUUGCCUGAUUAUUACGAAAAACCACAGUACACCCUAGUGUUUGAAAUGAUUGAUCUUCUAGUUCAUCCCGAGUGGAGCUAUAGUACAGGGUGGAGAUACAAAAAGAGAUCCAAUAUCAACUACUUUUUAGAAAAGGUGGGAAAAAACUUUGAAGUAGUCGUAUUUACAGCAGAAAAUGGAAAUAUUACUCAUCCUAUUUUGAACGAGCUUGACCCUUUGGGCUGGAUUUGCUAUCGACUUUCACGUCAGUGUGCAGAUUUUCAAAAUGGCAUUCUUUUAAAAAAUUUAGACAAAAUAAACCGUGAUUUGAAAAAAGUGAUCGUUGUAGACUGGAACAAAAAUUGGACAGCACUUCAACCCAACAACACUUUAAUAAUACCUAGAUGGAAUGGUGACGAAAACGAUAAUUCUCUCAUCGACCUUGCAGACUUUUUAACAACGGAAUUCGUAAAUGACAUUGAAGACGUUCGAGGAGUUAUAAAAGAAUACAAACAGUAUGAUGAUGACCCUAUCAAGUUCUUUCGAGAAAAACAACAAAGUUUAAAAAAACACAAUGGACUCUAUUAAAUAUAUCCAUAUAACAAUUGAACAAAUUGCCGAAAAUUUAAAUGUGGACGAUUGGAAGCAUUUCAUUUUGGCAAUCAAUUAUGGAUUGUUAAAAAGAGAUGUGUCUUAUACACAUCACCUGUAUGAUGGCUGAGUUGCAAAAGGUAUUACAACAUAAAGACGCAGUAGCGGUGUGUUUGGCCAAUCCAAACAUAAAGUGGAUGCAUGCAAUAUACUAGAUCCAAUAUGAGCAUCAAAAUAUAUGCAUACUGUCUAAAAACAUAGUGUAUCACGGACGUAUACAAAAGAAUAUUUGAGAAGGCAGUGAAUGAAGUAAAAAUGGAAAUUUACAAAGCGUGGCCGGAACCUCAUCUUGCAAGAAUCACUCCUGAUACACACAAUAAAAUAUUGUUCAAACAAAUCCAUAAAUAUUAUACUAAACAGCCUUGGGGCUGUAGUAUAGUUCAUCAGGAGAAAAAUGAAUAUUAUAAAAAUAAGCAAUAAAAUAUAGGCCAAAUAGCCACCAACAACGGAACACAACGAAAUUGUCAACACAUCAAAAUUUACAAUCAUGCCUACUAUUUAAAGCCGCCCAAAAUACAAUGUCGGUGGCACUCUCUCGUAUAAGACCAUCAGCCAUUUGUUAUGUGGGCAGUAUUUCGCGAAGAAAAAGAAGAAAUUCCAGAUGUAGAAGAACAGGUGGAUAAUAAAAACAUAAACAAUUCAUGGUUUUCGUGGAUAUUGUGGUUUAAUAAUAAGUGAAUCAUAAAUCAAAUGUUGUAUCACGGCUUCCGAAGAACAGCGGAAUAAUUGCAAAAGUAGAAUUUUACAGGACAGUGAAUUGCAAAAAAUACCUUUUAAACACUAUUGUAUAUACAUUUUAAAAAACCAGAUAGUUCUAACAAACCAAUUAAUUGUUCACAAUUUUAUUAAAAAUUCAUUGUUCCUGAUUUCAAAACCGCGAAAAACUAUUUUUAAAAAGUUUGCACUUAAGUUGUUCUUUGGAAGCUACGAUAUAAUUUUUUUUUAAACUAUUGAUAUUUUAUUACAAUUGAUCGAUAAAAUAAUAGAGUAUAACCUUUGAUAAUAAAUAUUAUAGAUGGCCCACUGAGACAAAUUUCCGUUCUGGACGUCGACACGGGUAGGCGCUAGUAGUACCGUUCUCAAUGAAAUUGAUACUACUAGCGCCAAUCCCUUGUUGACGUCCAGAACUUAGUCUCGGUGGACUAUCUAUAAUAUUUAUAAUCAAUGGUAUAACUAAGAACUUUCAGAUUUAUUUUUCUACAAAUUAUGUAUAAUAUGAUAGCUUAGUUUGGUUAUAGUUCACAAACCAUUAAUAAACAUGUUUUCUGUAUAAAUCUGUUAUAUGUAACUUUGUAAUAUAAUUAUUGGUAAAUUAUUUAUACUAUAUACAUUUAAUUAUAUCUUAGUUUAAGGUAUACUUAUGAUUUAUUUAUUUAUUAUACUUCUGAUUUAAGAAAUUAUGGA